GGUAGCCGGACUGAGAGGUUGAACGGCCACAUUGGGACUGAGACACGGCCCAGACUCCUACGGGAGGCAGCAGUGGGGAAUAUUGCACAAUGGGGGAAACCCUGAUGCAGCGACGCCGCGUGGAGGAAGAAGGUCUUCGGAUUGUAAACUCCUGUUGUUGAGGAAGAUAAUGACGGUACUCAACAAGGAAGUGACGGCUAACUACGUGCCAGCAGCCGCGGUAAAACGUAGGUCACAAGCGUUGUCCGGAAUUACUGGGUGUAAAGGGAGCGCAGGCGGGAGAACAAGUUGGAAGUGAAAUCCAUGGGCUCAACCCAUGAACUGCUUUCAAAACUGUUUUUCUUGAGUAGUGCAGAGGUAGGCGGAAUUCCCGGUGUAGCGGUGGAAUGCGUAGAUAUCGGGAGGAACACCAGUGGCGAAGGCGGCCUACUGGGCACCAACUGACGCUGAGGCUCGAAAGUGUGGGUAGCAAACAGGAUUAGAUACCCUGGUAGUCCACACCGUAAACGAUGAUUACUAGGUGUUGGAGGAUUGACCCCUUCAGUGCCGCAGUUAACACAAUAAGUAAUCCACCUGGGGAGUACGACCGCAAGGUUGAAACUCAAAGGAAUUGACGGGGGCCCGCACAAGCAGUGGAGUAUGUGGUUUAAUUCGACGCAACGCGAAGAACCUUACCAAGUCUUGACAUCCUGCGACGCACAUAGAAAUAUGUGUUUCCUUCGGGACGCAGAGACAGGUGGUGCAUGGUUGUCGUCAGCUCGUGUCGUGAGAUGUUGGGUUAAGUCCCGCAACGAGCGCAACCCUUAUGGUCAGUUACUACGCAAGAGGACUCUGGCCAGACUGCCGUUGACAAAACGGAGGAAGGUGGGGAUGACGUCAAAUCAUCAUGCCCUUUAUGACUUGGGCUACACACGUACUACAAUGGCGUUAAACAAAGAGAAGCAAGACCGCGAGGUGGAGCAAAACUCAGAAACAACGUCCCAGUUCGGACUGCAGGCUGCAACUCGCCUGCACGAAGUCGGAAUUGCUAGUAAUCGUGGAUCAGCAUGCCACGGUGAAUACGUUCCCGGGCCUUGUACACACCGCCCGUCACACCAUGAGAGCCGGGGGGACCCGAAGUCGGUAGUCUAACCGCAAGGAGGACGCCGCCGAAGGUAAAACUGGUGAUUGGGGUGAAGUCGUAACAAGGUAGCCGUA
rnacentral:rRNA from 1 species